rnacentral:rRNA from 1 species
GACAGAGGGUGCAAACGUUGCUCGGAAUCACUGGGCGUAAAGGGCGUGUAGGCGGGAAGGAAAGUCAGAUGUGAAAUCCCUGGGCUCAACCCAGGAACUGCAUUUGAAACUCCCUUUCUUUGAGUGUCGGAGAGGAAAGUGGAAUUCCUGGUGUAGAGGUGAAAUUCGUAGAUAUCAGGAGGAACACCGGUGGCGAAGGCGGCUUUCUGGACGACAACUGACGCUGAGACG